CAUGUUGAAACGCUCGUUCCCAUAGAUCACCGAAAUUAAGCAACGACGAGCCUGGUCAGUACCUAGAUGGGUAACUGGUUGGGAAUACCAGUUGCUGUAA